UAAUGUAGAACCACGUUCAGUGCCAACCAG
rnacentral:piRNA from 1 species